AUAUUUACCUCACAGGGAAAUACCAUGGUCCAGAAUGUGGUUUAUCCAGGAUUGGGCUCUUCUGUUGUACAGUUUGGUUGGAAUGAUUGCUGUGAUUCCCACAAAGCUGGUAAACUCAGCUGUUUAAAUUAUCAUUUAAGCUGGUAAGAAAACAGAUCUGUUUGUUU